UUUUAUGAGAGUUUGAUCCUGGCUCAGGACGAACGCUGGCGGCGUGCCUAAUACAUGCAAGUCGAACGCUUCUUUUUCCACCGGAGCUUGCUCCACCGGAAAAAGAGGAGUGGCGAACGGGUGAGUAACACGUGGGUAACCUGCCCAUCAGAAGGGGAUAACACUUGGAAACAGGUGCUAAUACCGUAUAACAAUCGAAACCGCAUGGUUUUGAUUUGAAAGGCGCUUUCGGGUGUCGCUGAUGGAUGGACCCGCGGUGCAUUAGCUAGUUGGUGAGGUAACGGCUCACCAAGGCCACGAUGCAUAGCCGACCUGAGAGGGUGAUCGGCCACAUUGGUACUGAGACACGGCCCAAACUCCUACGGGAGGCAGAAGUAGGGAAUCUUCGGCAAUGGACGAAAGUCUGACCGAGC
rnacentral:rRNA from 1 species